UCGUGCUGAUCAAGAAUAUAUAUACUUUAUAUGGUCAGAUAUGCUGCCUUCUAUGCGCAUCUUUGACAAAAAUUAAUAUACAUUUUUGCAAAGGAAAAACCACAGUUAAAUGUUAAAAAGAGUUUCGAUAUCGAAAAUAUCGAUAUUGGACGAUAUUGUACGUCAAAUGAUAUUUUCGAUUUAAUAUUAAAUGCGAUAUUGUCGUUGAUAUGCAAAAUUAUUUUCUUGGCCCUUAUGCAUCGCUAAUUACAGCCAACAUUAAAGAAAGACCGCAUAAAUUGACCAAAUUCGAAACAGUGAAAUCUUAAACACCAAUAGAUUUUUAUAUUUUACAAAAUUCCACAAGACUAAUAACGGUAUAUAUAUAUAUAAAAAAUAGAUCACCCUUUUCACCAUCCAACAGAGACGUUCAUACUUUACGCGGUCCGAUUGACUUUUUUUUAUCGGUAUUUGCUAAAUGCAUCACUGAAAAUUUGCCAUUCUCUAGAAAAGAGUCAUUUUACACCAAAAACAAUGGGUGAGAAAAGAAAAAGCAAUUUUUAAGCAGUUAACAAAUUUCUUUCCAAUUUGGUUCUAUUUGAGUUUCAAAGCUACCACAUCGAAGCUUCGGAAAUACAUACAUAUUUACAUAUAUGUACAUAC